rnacentral:misc_RNA from 1 species
CAGGAGUUGUGGCAAAGUGUAGUCGAAGCACGAGUGAGUGCUCGGAACCAAGAUGAUAAGAAUCGUAACAAAAGAGAAAGUGGAUCUCGAAGUGGAUGAACUCAGGUGUCGAACUGUCAGGCGAGAAGGUGGGAGAAUAUCGCAACGAUGGAUAUUGGCAGUUAUGGGAUGUCUGGCAACCGCCAACGCCCUCAUGAUGAGAGGUUGCCUGUCAGUUGCGAUUACGGAGAUAGUCACCAAAACUGAAAUGUCGAACGAUACGAGCUUGGACGACACUUGCCCAGCAUCCGAAUCCACUUCAUCGUCGACAUCAAGUACCGGCGGCACUUACGAAUGGAGUGAAUACAUGCAGGGAAUCGUUCUAUCCAGCUUUGCCUGGGGCUACGCGGUAGCUCAAAUACCAGGUGCAAUGAUGGUAGCUAAAUUCGGAGGUAAGUGGCCCCUUGGAAUCAGUAUCUUGACGGCUGGAGUGCUGACGCUGCUGACCCCAACGGCGAUCCAGAUUUACGACGCCAAGGGUCUGAUAGUCCUCCGUGUCCUGAUGGGAGUGAGCGGUGGGGUGGUUUUACCUUCGCUCAGCUUCCUCACGGCGCACUGGGCGUCGCCCAAUGAGCGAUCAAAAAUCGGCAACACGAUGACUUCCGGAGGGAUGUUGGGGACCAUAGCCUCAAACGCACUGUCCGGAGUGCUUAUAGAAAACUCCUCGAUCGGUUGGCCGAUCGUGUUUUACUUCUUCGGGGGCUUUUCGAUGAUUUGGUUUAUCGCCUGGAGUGUCCUCUGCUACAGCCGACCCGAGGAUCACCCGUUUAUAACAGAGAAAGAAAAGAAACACCUCAUGGAAACCACGAUGCAGAACAGCACUGGGAUGAAUCAAAGAGAAAAUCUGCAGAUUCCGUGGCGACGCAUAAUGUCCUCCCGACCGUUCUGGGCAGUAACGAUGGCCAAUAUAAGCCAUGACUGGGGCAGCUUCGUGAUGUUGACUAACCUUCCAAAAUACUUGAGCAGCGUCCUGAAAUAUUCCAUCCAGUCGAAUGGUCUGCUCUCUGCCCUGCCAUUCGCAGCCAAGUGGUUAGUGAUAAAUGCUUCUUCCUGGCUUGCGGACUGGUUGAUAAAGGCGGGCAAGCUAUCGAGGACAAACACGCGCAAGAUCUUUGUCACAAUUGGCGGACCCGGAAUGGCUUUUUUUUUAAUUGGUGCGUCGUACGCCGGAUGCAACAGGGAGCUAGUCGUCACACUCUUUGUCUUGGGCAUGGGAGUGAUGGGCAACUUCUACCCUGGAUCCAUAGUAAACAUUGUUGACUUGAGCCCGAACUAUGCAGGAACGUUGAUGGGUAUUAUGAAGACAAUGACAGCCCUCACGGGAAUAGCGGCUCCCUAUGCUAUCGGUGUUAUCACACCAAACCAUACCCUUUCGGAGUGGAGAAUCGUCUUCUGGAUCACAGUCAUCUUAUUCUUCACGGCAGCACUAAUCUUCGUUAUCUGGGGCGACGGUGAAGUUCAGUCAUGGAAUCAUUCGGACAACGUCGAUGGAAAACGGACGGAGGUUGCGAACCCAGAACAAGCGGAUGAAGAAAACAUAUCCUUGGGUUGAUGAAUCCAAUAGCUCGGUGUUCAGGUAUGAGAUAACUAUAAUUCUGAGAAUGACAGAAGGACAUCCCUACUAAGGAUUUCGAGAAAAUAGCUUCUGAAAAACGGAUGCAAACAAGAAAACUACUUCUUUUAACCUGAUAAUGCCUCACACAGGAAAACAUUGCACCAACGUUAAGGACUUUCAAAGAGGAUCUUGCUAAUCGCCUCAUAUCCCCGCAAUUUCUUCAUUUUUUUCCAUUUCUUUUCAAUUCUGUUCAUAAAACUCUACUGUACUUGUAGAAAAUAAAUUUUUUUUAAAUAUCUGAUGGCCGCCAAAUCAAACCCGUUUGGAGCGGCAAAUCGUAUUCUGGAUCACAUUCGUAUUGUCCUUCGUCACUACUCUCAUCUUCGAUAUCUGGGGUGAAGGCGAUGUUCAGCCCUGGAACGAUCUGGACUCCAUUGACAGAAAGCAGAAGGAGGUUGAAAACGGAAAACGGAAGGAUGGACAAAGGAUUUCCUCGAGCUGAUAGCUCCGAGUUCCUCGAGGCCUCUAGCCUCGCGAUGAUUUCACAAGCUGUCGUUGACUUAUUUUAUAAAACUGUCUGAUUUUUUUCUGACCAAUUCAGAGCAAGGUUUUCUAAAAACAAUAUGACUCUCAGGAUGUAUCAGAUAUGUGUAUUAAGAAAUACGAUAAUAAAAUUUUAUAUCAUUUAACG